AAGCAAUCUAUACGGUGAAACUGCGAAUGGCUCAUUAAAUCAGUUAUCGUUUAUUUGAUAGUACCUUACUACUUGGAUAACCGUGGUAAUUCUAGAGCUAAUACAUGCUAAAAACCUCGACUUCGGAAGGGGUGUAUUUAUUAGAUAAAAAACCAAUGCCCUUCGGGGCUCCUUGGUGAUUCAUAAUAACUUAACGAAUCGCAUGGCCUUGUGCCGGCGAUGGUUCAUUCAAAUUUCUGCCCUAUCAACUUUCGAUGGUAGGAUAGUGGCCUACCAUGGUUUCAACGGGUAACGGGGAAUUAGGGUUCUAUUCCGGAGAGGGAGCCUGAGAAACGGCUGCCACAUCCAAGGAAGGCAGCAGGCGCGCAAAUUACCCAAUCCCGACACGGGGAGGUAGUGACAAUAAAUACUGAUACAGGGCUCUUUUGGGUCUUGUAAUUGGAAUGAGUACAAUUUAAAUCCCUUAACGAGGAACAAUUGGAGGGCAAGUCUGGUGCCAGCAGCCGCGGUAAUUCCAGCUCCAAUAGCGUAUAUUAAAGUUGUUGCAGUUAAAAAGCUCGUAGUUGAACCUUGAGCCUGGCUGGCCGGUCCGCCUCACCGCGUGCACUGGUCCGGCCGGGUUUUUCCUUCUGGGGAGCCGCAUGCCCUUCACUGGGUGUGUCGGGGAACCAGGACUUUUACUUUGAAAAAAUUAGAGUGUUCAAAGCAGGCCUAUGCUCGAAUACAUUAGCAUGGAAUAAUAGAAUAGGACGUGUGGUUCUAUUUUGUUGGUUUCUAGGACCGCCGUAAUGAUUAAUAGGGAUAGUCGGGGGCAUCAGUAUUCAAUUGUCAGAGGUGAAAUUCUUGGAUUUAUUGAAGACUAACUACUGCGAAAGCAUUUGCCAAGGAUGUUUUCAUUAAUCAGUGAACGAAAGUUAGGGGAUCGAAGACGAUCAGAUACCGUCGUAGUCUUAACCAUAAACUAUGCCGACUAGGGAUCGGGCGAUGUUAUUUUUUUGACUCGCUCGGCACCUUACGAGAAAUCAAAGUCUU
rnacentral:rRNA from 1 species